rnacentral:tRNA from 1 species
GACAGCGUGGUCAAAUGGAUAAGGCGUCUGACUUCUAAUCAGAAGAUUGCCGGUUCCACCCCGGCCGUGGACC